GGGAGCAAACAGGAUUAGAUACCCUGGUAGUCCACGCCGUAAACGAUGUCGACUUGGAGGCUGUGCCCUUGAGGCGUGGCUUCCGGAGCUAACGCGUUAAGUCGACCGCCUGGGGAGUACGGCCGCAAGGUUAAAACUCAAAUGAAUUGACGGGGGCCCGCACAAGCGGUGGAGCAUGUGGUUUAAUUCGAUGCAACGCGAAGAACCUUACCUGGUCUUGACAUCCACAGAACUUUCCAGAGAUGGAUUGGUGCCUUCGGGAACUGUGAGACAGGUGCUGCAUGGCUGUCGUCAGCUCGUGUUGUGAAAUGUUGGGUUAAGUCCCGCAACGAGCGCAACCCUUAUCCUUUGUUGCCAGCGGUCCGGCCGGGAACUCAAAGGAGACUGCCAGUGAUAAACUGGAGGAAGGUGGGGAUGACGUCAAGUCAUCAUGGCCCUUACGACCAGGGCUACACACGUGCUACAAUGGCGCAUACAAAGAGAAGCGACCUCGCGAGAGCAAGCGGACCUCAUAAAGUGCGUCGUAGUCCGGAUUGGAGUCUGCAACUCGACUCCAUGAAGUCGGAAUCGCUAGUAAUCGUGGAUCAGAAUGCCACGGUGAAUACGUUCCCGGGCCUUGUACACACCGCCCGUCACACCAUGGGAGUGGGUUGCAAAAGAAGUAGGUAGCUUAACCUUCGGGAGGGCGCUUACCACUUUGUGAUUCAUGACUGGGGUGAA
rnacentral:rRNA from 1 species